ensembl:lncRNA
AUUUGGAACGUUCCAACAGGAAAUCUGUUCUAAAAAAGUAAAGUACAAAGUUGCCAACAAUCAACGCAUACAAAGUAGCACGAUCAACUCACCACGUAGCUUAUUCUCAAUGUUUGUCUAUGGGCUACCAGAGUGAGGACAGACAUUUUCGGAAUAAACGUGGUGAGUGAAAGAUUGAAUGAUAUAGCCCUCUCCCUACCCGGUGUCUUAUUCCGCCACUAUACAACUCUGUAUGCGGUGUUUGUUGACAACCUUGUUCUUUACGAAGUUUUUGGAACAGAUUCUUGUUGGAACGUUCCACAAAUUAUACCAACCCAUUCUGUUAACAUUGUUUUUGUUACAUCUAGGCCUAUCGCCCCAUUGUAAAAAUAUAAGAAUACACUGUACAAAAUAAUUUAUUCACAGAAUUGUUAAAGCUACUGUAGCGUAAUAGCUACAGCUAAAGUUAACUAGCUAACUAACUAGUAGACCUAGUAUGUCGCGCGACAACAGCAAAAAGUUCCCUCUGCCGCGUUUUUUUUUUACCAAUGUUUAGUGACUAGUUUCAAUAUGCUUUACUUUCGUAACUCACCAAAGUAAAGUUGUUGCUAUAGUGCAGGCAAACCUUUCUCUGAAUGCCUCAAUGACUGUAUAUGAAGGUAUGCAUAGUAGACGACUGGCUCUUGUCCGUGCGCAUGCGUUGGAUGUACUCGCAGCUUGCAGUGCAUGUGCGUGGACCAGAGUUUGAUAACUUACUUGGCUAAUCAUUUGUAAGACUCUCUAGCCUGAGAACUAUGACCACACAUUGGGCUCAUACUAACCACUGGGAGAAACACAUUUCAGAUCUUUCCUGGAGUUGAAACUGCUCUGAGGAAGAGGUCCACAAGUGGUUGAAAGACUUCCAGAGAACAUCAGAUUUGACUUGGAGAAAAAGGGUACUUCUGGCUGAAGUGGACAACAACACAUGUUGUGGUGCAAUAAUGUACUUCAUCCCGAAGAGGUUGAUUCAUUCGCAACGAAGAGAAUCAAGAUCUCCAUAUGAAAGGAGGUUGCCUCUUUCAUGGGCGUUUACGGAAUGGCGACAACCACAGUCUGACAAGUGCUGAGGUGCUGAAGAGGAGAAAUGUGUCAGCGGACACCAUUGAGAAAUUGACAAAGCUGUUUGAAAUAGUCCACUCUCUUUCAUCAGCUCUAAACAUGAUCAAAUAGGAGUUGCAAGUGGAGUAUGGAGACAACCAUGUGCAUGCCUCUGUGGACUCCUCCAUUUGCCCCAGCUUCAAUUCUGCUACAAGUCAGUUGCUUGACACACUUGAUCUGCUGAUUCAUACAGUGUAUUUAAAUGUUAUCACCAGAAAUCAUUUGCUUUAGGUGUGUUCCUCAUUUGUCCAUUACAGAUUAUACCACAAGCUUUUCAAAGAAGCAUGGGUUGCAAUCGUAUGUAGAGAACAAGAUUGAUGAUUCUCAUGAGAAUCUGGAUAACUGCAAUGAAGAAGAAUGUUCACCAGAAUGUUAUGUUUUCGACUGUGGCAACGUGUCUGAGGACACUGUUGUAAUCGAGUGUGCUCCCGUUUCUGAUGUAAACGGCUCAGGUACAUCUGGAAAACCAGCUGAGGGGGCGACGUUAGAGGAAGACUGGAUGGAGAUCUUUGAAGACCUCAAAAAGAAGAUGAGGGAGGAUCUUGUGUGUUUCAGGCCUAAAGUAGCAUCCUUUGUUUCCAGCUUCAAGAAGAUUAAAACAGACAGUGAACUCAUAGCCGCUCUAUCAAACUUUGGCAAAACCAACCCUGGACCAACAGCAAAGUUUCGCCAGGGACACGCACGCCCCGCAAAGAGCUCCAUAGGAGAGUGUGGACAUGGCACAUGCUGCUGGAAGAGGAAGGCACCCAAUUGAAUGUCUGUGUGUGGAAUAGCACAUGGACAUUGGGAGUACUACACAAAAUAAGCAAGUCAACAUCAGUGGCCCCAUGUGCCCAUCAUCCAACUGCUCACCAUCUGUGACCUUCAGUGCACUAGCGCUCUGCCCUCAAACACCCCCCAUCUGCCUACCACCUUUAUGUCAACUCCGCCUUGUACAAAACCAGUGGCUAUUUCAAUGCAUUGUGGCCUCUACAACACUAGAAUCAGUGGCUAUUUCAGUAUUGCAUUCUUGCCUUUUGGUUUUACGUUCAUUCAAUGCAAGACGUUUCUGCAAUUUCAUAUGUUUUGGAAAUUGAUUCCAUGUUUAUGGACCAUCAGACUUUAAAAAGCUGUUCUUCCAACCCAGUUGUAGAUCUACAGGCCUAUACUAUCACUGAACCAAAACAGUAGUUGUCAUGACUUUGCCGAGUCUUAAAUAUAAAAUGCUUAUUUAUAUUUUUUUAUAUACUGGUGUACGCUACCAUUAAAAAGUUUGGGGUCAUUUAGAAAUGUCCUUGUUUUUGAAAGAAAAGCCCCAUUAAAAUAACAUCAAAUUGAUCAGAAAUGCAGUGUAGACAUUGUUUAUGUUAUAAAUGACUUUUUAUUGUUGUUUUUUUAAUAGAAUAUCUACAUAGGCGUACAGGCCCAUUAUCAGCAACCAUCACUCCUGUGUUCCAAUGGCAUGUUGUUUUAGCUAAUCCAAGUUUAUCAUUUUAAAAGGUUCAUUGAUUAUUGCGUCAUCCGAAACAUGACCCGCCAGACCGCACUUCUUAACACCCACCUGCCAGCCACACCAAUGUAUCGGAGGAAACACUGUUCAACUCACUGUUCAACUACCGGGUCAGCCUGCAAGCACCAGGCCUGCCACAAGGAAUCGCUAGAGUGCAAUGAGCUUAGUAAAGCCCCCCCCCCGGCCAAACCCUCCCCUAAUAUGAUCACGGCCGGGUUGUGAUACAGCCUGGGAUCAAACCCGGGUCUGUAGUGACGCCUCUAGCACGGCAAUGCAGUGCCUUAGACUGCGGUGCAACUCGGGAGGCCUUAUAUAUAUAUUAUAUAUGUAUGUGUGUGUGUAUGGUAUGUGGACAUUAGGACUUGGUUAGUAAAUGUAAAAAUGUAGCAUUACAGUAAAUGUGUACAGAAAAUAAGUUGGCACACCUUGAUGUCCUCUACAUUAGACAUUUAUAAACAAG